rnacentral:tRNA from 2 species
GCGGGAAUAGCUCAGUGGUAGAGCACAACCUUGCCAUGGUUGGGGUCGAGGGUUCGAAUCCCUUUUCCCGCUCCA